GAUGAACGCUGGCGGCGUGCCUAAUACAUGCAAGUCGAGCGAAUGGAUUAAGAGCUUGCUCUUAUGAAGUUAGCGGCGGACGGGUGAGUAACACGUGGGUAACCUGCCCAUAAGACUAGGAUAACUCCGGGAAACCGGGGCUAAUACCGGAUAACAUUUUGAACCGCAUGGUUCGAAAUUGAAAGGCGGCUUCGGCUGCCACUUAUGGAUGGACCCGCGUCGCAUUAGCUAGUUGGCGAGGUAACGGCUCACCAAGGCAAGGAUGCGUAGCCGACCUGAGAGGGUGAUCGGCCACGCUGGGACUGAGACACGGCCCAGACUCCUACGGGAGGCAGCAGUAGGGAAUCUUCCGCAAUGGACGAAAGUCUGACGGAGCAACGCCGCGUGAGUGAUGGAGGCUUUCGGGUCGUAAAACUCUGUUGUUAGGGAAGAACAAGUGCUAGUUGAAUAAGCUGGCACCUUGACGGUACCUAACCAGAAAGCCACGGCUAACUACGUGCCAGCAGCCGCGGUAA
rnacentral:rRNA from 1 species